GACCCAGCUACUUGGGAGGCUGAGGCAGGAGAAUUGCUUGAACCCAGGAGGUGGAGGUUGCAGUGAACUGAGACCACAUCAUUGUACUCCAUCUUGGGGACAGAAAGAGAAACAGGCUGUCUCAAGUAAA